UAAAUACUGCUCAAAAAAAAACCUUAUUUUGAGAGAUUAAUCAGAUUUAAGAUUUAAUUGAAACUAUGUAUCUCAGGAUACUUUGUAGACUAAAUACAGAGGAAAAGGCCCGAGAUAAAUCAGAAGGACAUGUGUUUGUUUAGGUAGCUGUCCAAAGGAAGGACAAGCUUCCAUUCUCUUAACACAGUGGUGCUGGCUUUGUUUCUCUGUAACUCCUCAGCUGUACCAGGCCAGGGGCAUUGGUUUAAUCUCAGGAAUGGUUCCCUUCAUGGUUGCAAAAUGCUUUUAGCAGUUCCAGCUUCCCAUGUCCACAAACCAAGAUGUGUCGCAGAGCAGAGAACAUUUUCUUUUCUUAAUUCUCUCUCAUAGAGCCUCAGAAGACCUCUUUUCUGUUAUCCUCAAAAAGACUCCCUCCAAUUUUGCUCUCAUGAAUUACAUUAAUCCAUGUACCUGAGGCCUG
rnacentral:lncRNA from 1 species